rnacentral:tRNA from 1 species
GAGGGUAUAGCUCAGCGGUAGAGUGUGUGCUUAGCAUGCUCAAGGUCCUGAGUUCAAUCCCCAGUACCUUCA